rnacentral:misc_RNA from 1 species
AGUCGUAACAAGGUCUCCGUUGGUGAACCAGCGGAGGGAUCAUUAACGAGUUUGCUUUUCUAGCUCGAAACCCACUGUGAACAUACCUCUUAUACCGUUGCUUCGGCGGACUGUCGUCCUACAUGCCUCUCUAGCCUUUUCUGGCUAGGGCAGACCUGUAGGCUUCGCCGCCGUUGGGACGCAAACCUAAACUCUUUUACAUGCUACACUAUAAGUAUUAUCUGAGUCGAUAUUUAAUUAUCAAAACUUUCAGCAACGGAUCUCUUGGUUCUG